GGCGAGGUAGUGAAAAGGUAUAACGUUGGGCUCAUAACCCAAAAUUGUCGGUUCGAAUCCGACCUUCGCAA
rnacentral:tRNA from 1 species